UAGGGAAUCUUCGGCAAUGGACGAAAGUCUGACCGAGCAACGCCGCGUGAGUGAAGAAGGUUUUCGGAUCGUAAAACUCUGUUGUUAGAGAAGAACAAGGACGUUAGUAACUGAACGUCCCCUGACGGUAUCUAACCAGAAAGCCACGGCUAACUACGUGCCAGCAGCCGCGGUAAUACGUAGGUGGCAAGCGUUGUCCGGAUUUAUUGGGCGUAAAGCGAGCGCAGGCGGUUUCUUAAGUCUGAUGUGAAAGCCCCCGGCUCAACCGGGGAGGGUCAUUGGAAACUGGGAGACUUGAGUGCAGAAGAGGAGAGUGGAAUUCCAUGUGUAGCGGUGAAAUGCGUAGAUAUAUGGAGGAACACCAGUGGCGAAGGCGGCUCUCUGGUCUGUAACUGACGCUGAGGCUCGAAAGCGUGGUGAGCAAACAGG
rnacentral:rRNA from 1 species